AGCAGCCGCGGUAAUUCCAGCUCCAAUAGCGUAUAUUAAAGUUGUUGCAGUUAAAAAGCUCGUAGUUGAAUUUCGGGGUUAGUAGGUUGGUCAUGCCUCUGGUAUGUACUGGUCUCACUGAUUCCUCCUUCCUGAUGAACCUUAAUGCCAUUAAUUUGGUGUUUUGGGGAAUUUGGACUGUUACUUCGAAAAAAUUAGAGUGUUUAAAGCAAGCUAACGCUUGAAUACAUUAGCAUGGAAUAAUGAAAUAGGACGUCCGAUCCUAUUUUGUUGGUUUCUAGGAUUGACGUAAUGAUUAAUAGGGAUAGUUGGGGGCAUUAGUAUUCAAUUGUCAGAGGUGAAAUUCUUGGAUUUAUUGAAGACUAACUACUGCGAAAAGCAUUUGCCAAGGAUGUUUUCAUUAAUCAAGAACGAAAGUUAGGGGAUCGAAGACGAUCAGAUACCGUCGUAGUCUUAACCAUAAACUAUGCCGACUAGGGAUCGGAUGAUGUUAAUUUUUUAAUGACUCAUUCGGCGCCUU
rnacentral:rRNA from 1 species